rnacentral:lncRNA from 1 species
GGCAUCAUAUGCCGCAACUAUGUCCCUGUGAUGCUUUUCAAUUGGCGUCACAUUGUAUGGGCUCAGAGAGAGAUUUUUUACACCCAGUUAUAGGUAAAAUAAAUUAUACUGUGAAUAUUUAAUUAACACAGUAUUCUUCUAAUAUUUGUUAUUGGCAGGAUGUAUUUGAUAUUAUUAAUUUUGAAGAGGAUCGUGUGCGGUAAGCUAUAGAUGCUCAUUUAUGUUUGCAUUUUAAGGAGUAUCACCACCGUAUCCAUCAGCAUUGGUACCAUAUGAUGCAAGAUCAUGGGGUGGAGGUAGUGCGGCAGCGGUCCUAUGAUAGCAUCACUAUAGAUGAUUGGACUCUCAUAUGCCGACAUUAUGAGGAUCCGACAUAUCAGGUUACACAUCCAAACUUUUUUUUAGAGUUUAAUGAUUGAAUCAUUUAUUCUUAAAUUCAGUUUGUUAUCUACUAAUUUGACUGCUAAUUGUACAGAGACGAUGUGCUCAGAAUGUCGUGAAUCAUGCGAGACAGACGGUAUUGCACUAUGAGGGUUCGAGGUCAUUUGCUCGUCAUAUGGAGCAAAUGGUAAAUAAUUUUUAAUUAGUAUAUCUUAACUCUAACUAUUUAAAAAAAAUUAAUUAAUUAUUUUCAAAUUAUAGAGAGAUGC